rnacentral:rRNA from 1 species
GAUGAACGCUGGCGGCGCGCCUAACACAUGCAAGUCGAACGGAGUUACUUUAUUAGAUCCCUUCGGGGUGAAGAUUUUUUAACUUAGUGGCGAACGGGUGAGUAACGCGUGAGUAACCUGCCUUCAAGAGGGGGACAACAGUUGGAAACGACUGCUAAUACCGCAUAAUGCAGUUUAAUCGCAUGGUUUUACUGUCAAAGGAGCAAUCCGCUUGAAGAUGGACUCGCGUCUGAUUAGAUAGUUGGUGAGGUAACGGCUCACCAAGUCUACGAUCAGUAGCCGGACUGAGAGGUCGAUCGGCCACAUUGGGACUGAGACACGGCCCAGACUCCUACGGGAGGCAGCAGUGGGGAAUAUUGCACAAUGGGCGAAAGCCUGAUGCAGCGAUGCCGCGUGAGGGAAGACGGUUUUCGGAUUGUAAACCUCUGUCUUGUGGGACGAUAAUGACGGUACACAGGAGAAGCCAUGGCUAACUACGUGCCAGCAGCC